rnacentral:rRNA from 1 species
UACGUAGGGGGCAAGCGUUUGUCCGGAUUUAUUGGGCGUAAAGAGCGUGUAGGCGGCCAGGGAGGUCCGUUGUGAAAAACUCGAGGCUCAACCUCGAGACGCCGAUGGAAACCCCCCUGGCUAGAGUCCGGAAGAGGAGAGUGGAAUUCCUGGUGUAGCGGUGAAAUGCGUAGAUAUUGGGGGGGAACACCAGUGGCGAAAGCGGCCGUCUGGGACAUUCCUGACACUGAGGUUCGAAAGCUCGGGGAGCAAACAGG